GUCAGGAUAGCUCAGCUGGUAGAG
rnacentral:tRNA from 1 species